rnacentral:rRNA from 1 species
UGUUCCAGUUUAAGCGUGUAGGUGUGUGUUCCAGGUAAAUCCGGUUCACUUUACCACUGAGGCGUGACGACGAGGCACUACGGUGCUGAAGCAACAAAUGCCCUGCUUCCAGGAAAAGCCUCUAAGCAUCAGGGAACACGAAAUCGUACCCCAAUACCAAGGCGCUUGAGAGAACUCGGGAGAAGGCACGCUGACACGUAGGUGAAGUGAUUUACGCUGACACGUAGGUGAAGUGAUUUACUCAUGGAGCUGAAGUCAGUCGAAGAUACCAGCUGGCUGCAACUGUUUAUUAAAAACACAGCACUGUGCAAACACGAAAGUGGACGUAUACGGUGUGACGCCUGCCCGCUGCCGGAAGGUUAAUUGAUGGGGUCAGCGUAAGCGAAGCUCCUGAUCGAAGC